rnacentral:misc_RNA from 1 species
AAAAAAAAAAAAAAAAAGAGGUGGAAGUAAUGUUUUAUAUGAUUAACUUAUACAAAUGCUCUCAUUUUUUACACAAAAGAACCCUCUCAUACUCGUAUCACUGUUUUACACCAGUAAGUUAUGCUUCUUGGUCUCAUGCUGUUGUUCAUCCAUUCAUGAGACAUGGCUUCCAUGUGUAGACAGUUCCCUUUGAGUUUUGACAUAUGGAUAUUAUGUUUAAUCUCAAACUUGUGCUACCUACAUAGGUUUAUACAUAGAUGUAUGUUUCACAGGCUUUGAUGUAUGUUUCACAGGCGUUGUGUUGAAAUUAAUUGUUAUUAUGUAUUAAAUAACUCCUACAUUUCCUUGUGAAAAUCAUGUAGGCCUUUCUAGUUCUCGCUUAACCUGUUGCUCUUGAAUCACCAGGGCCUCA